rnacentral:rRNA from 1 species
GACGAACGCUGGCGGCGUGCUUAACACAUGCAAGUCGAACGGAAAGGCCCUUCGGGGUCCUCGAGUGGCGAACGGGUGAGUAACACGUGGGUGAUCUGCCCUGCACUCUGGGAUAAGCCUGGGAAACUGGGUCUAAUACCGAAUAGGACCACGCGCUUCAUGGUGUGUGGUGGAAAGCUUUUGCGGUGUGGGAUGGGCCCGCGGCCUAUCAGCUUGUUGGUGGGGUAAUGGCCUACCAAGGCGACGACGGGUAGCCGGCCUGAGAGGGUGACCGGCCACACUGGGACUGAGAUACGGCCCAGACUCCUACGGGAGGCAGCAGUGGGGAAUAUUGCACAAUGGGCGCAAGCCUGAUGCAGCGACGCCGCGUGAGGGAUGACGGCCUUCGGGUUGUAAACCUCUUUCAAUAGGGACGAAGCGCAAGUGACGGUACCUAUAGAAGAAGCACCGGCCAACUACGUG